rnacentral:siRNA from 1 species
GGGUACCGGCGAGAGUGAUGG